rnacentral:rRNA from 1 species
AUAGGGAGAUUCAGUGUUUCGAUUGACCGGGUCCGCCCGCGAUACGACUUGGCGACGAGGGCAUGCACUUCUCCCCUAGUAGGACGUCGCGACCCGUUGGGUGUCGGCGUACGACGUAGCCUGUCACGAAUUGGCAGACCCCGCGUGCUCCGGCCGACUGCCCGACGGUAUAGCGUUCGGCCGGUCGCAAGCGUGGACGGUUCUUUCGGCUGUCGGACCUGGUCCGGCACCGAUCCCGCUCGCGCUGUUGGCGACCGUGUCCUCGAACAGGCCCUACCAGUCAGCGAUGCUAUUGCUUUGGGUACUUUCAGGACCCGUCUUGAAACACGGACCAAGGAGUCUAGCAUGUGCGCAAGUCAUUGGGAAUUACAAAACCUAAAGGCGCAAUGAAAGUAAAGGUUCGCUUAUGCGAACUGAGGGAUGAUGGUGCGUACACCCGCAAUCCCGGGGCGUCUCACUCUCAUUGAGAAGAGGCGCACCAAGAGCGUACACGCUGGGACCCGAAAGAUGGUGACCUAUGCCUGAUUAGGUCGAAGUCAGGGGAAACCCUGAUGGAGGACCGUAGCGAUUCUGACGUGCAAAUCGAUCGUAAAAAUUGGGUAUAGCGGCGAAAGACUCAUCGAACUAUCUAGUAGCUGGUUCCCUCCGAAGUUUCCCUCAGGAUAGCUGGCAUUCGAUGAGCGAGUCUCAUCCGGUAAAGCGAAUGAUUAGAGGCCUUGGGGCCGAAACGACCUCAACCUAUUCUCAAACUUUAAAUGGGUGAGAUCUCUGGCUUGCUUAAAUAGUGAAGCCAGAGCAGAGUGCCUAGUGGGCCACUUUUGGUAAGCAGAACUGGCGCUGUGGGAUGAACCAAACGCCGAGUUAAGGCGCCUAAACGACGCUAAUGGGAUACCAUGAAAGGCGUUGGUUGCUUAAGACAGCAGGACGGUGGCCAUGGAAGUUGGAAUCCGCUAAGGAGUGUGUAACAACUCACCUGCCGAAGCAACUAGCCCUGAAAAUGGAUGGCGCUGAAGCGUCGUGCCUAUACUCGGCCGCCAGGGCAAGAUUAGUGUAUCGCUUUGAAGCCCUGGUGAGUAGGAGGGUCGCGGUGGUGUGCGCAGAAGGGUCUGGGCGUGAGCCUGCCUGGAGCCGCCAUCGGUGCAGAUCUUGGUGGUAGUAGCAAAUACUCCAGCGAGGCCCUGGAGGACUGACGUGGAGAAGGGUUUCGUGUGAACAGCCGUUGCACACGAGUCAGUCGAUCCUAAGCCCCAGGAGAAAUUAAUAUCACACCCAUCGGGCGAAAGGGAAUCCGGUUCCUAUUCCGGAACCCGGCAGCGGAACCGUUUACAAGUCGGGCCCUCGCAAGAGAGUUCGUCGGGGUAACCCAAAAUGACCUGGAGACGCCGUCGGGAGAUACGGGGAGAGUUUUCUUUUCUGUAUGAGCGUUCGAGUUCCCUGGAAUCCUCUAGCAGGGAGAUAGGGUUUGGAACGCGAAGAGCACCGCAGUUGCGGCGGUGUCCGUAUCUUCCCCUCGGACCUUGAAAAUCCAGGAGAGGGCCACGGUAGGUGUCGCGCCGGUUCGUACCCAUAUCCGCAGCA